rnacentral:rRNA from 1 species
CAGUCGCCGCGGGAAUACGAAUGGGGCUAGCGUUGUUCGGAUUUACUGGGCGUAAAGCGCACGUAGGCGGACUUUUAAGUCAGGGGUGAAAUCCCGGGGCUCAACCCCGGAACUGCCUUUGAUACUGGAAGUCUUGAGUAUGGUAGAGGUGAGUGGAAUUCCGAGUGUAGAGGUGAAAUUCGUAGAUAUUCGGAGGAACACCAGUGGCGAAGGCGGCUCACUGGACCAUUACUGACGCUGAGGUGCGAAAGCGUGGGGAGCAAACAGGAUUAGAGACCCCAGUAGUCCCUGUCUCUUAUAC